rfam:Clostridiales bacterium S5-A11 contig010, whole genome shotgun sequence.
ACUAUGACACAACCGCUCGAAGAGGUUUUCAAAGCGAACGCUACCAUAUUCGGCGAGUCUGGUUAUAGAG